ACGGAAGGCAGCAGUGGGGAAUAUUGGGCAAUGGGCGCAAGCCUGACCCAGCAACGCCGCGUGAAGGAAGAAGGCUUUCGGGUUGUAAACUUCUUUUAUCAGGGACGAAGAAAGUGACGGUACCUUAUGAAUAAGCCACGGCUAACUACGUGCCAGCAGCCGCGGUAAUACGUAGGUGGCAAGCGUUAUCCGGAUUUACUGGGUGUAAAGGGCGCGUAGGCGGGGAUGCAAGUCAGAUGUGAAAUCUAUGAGCUUAACUCAUAAACUGCAUUUGAAACUGUAUCUCUUGAGUGCUGGAGAGGUAGAUGGAAUUCCUUGUGUAGCGGUGAAAUGCGUAGAUAUAAGGAAGAACACCAGUGGCGAAGGCGAUCUACUGGACAGUAACUGACGCUGAGGCGCGAAAGCGUGGGGAGCAAACAGGAUUAGAUACCCUGGUA
rnacentral:rRNA from 1 species